GACGAACGCUGGCGGCGUGCUUAACACAUGCAAGUCGAACGGAAAGGCCCUGCUUUUGUGGGGUGCUCGAGUGGCGAACGGGUGAGUAACACGUGAGUAACCUGCCCUUGACUUUGGGAUAACUUCAGGAAACUGGGGCUAAUACCGGAUAGGAGCUCCUGCUGCAUGGUGGGGGUUGGAAAGUUUCGGCGGUCGGGGAUGGACUCGCGGCUUAUCAGCUUGUUGUUGGGGUAGUGGCUUACCAAGGCUUUGACGGGUAGCCGGCCUGAGAGGGUGACCGGCCACAUUGGGACUGAGAUACGGCCCAGACUCCUACGGGAGGCAGCAGUGGGGAAUAUUGCACAAUGGGCGGAAGCCUGAUGCAGCAACGCCGCGUGCGGGAUGACGGCCUUCGGGUUGUAAACCGCUUUCGCCUGUGACGAAGCGUGAGUGACGGUAAUGGGUAAAGAAGCACCGGCUAACUACGUG
rnacentral:rRNA from 1 species